rnacentral:rRNA from 1 species
CAGGGAUUGCCCUAGUAACGGCGAGUGAAGCGGCAACAGCUCAAAUUUGAAAUCUGGCUCUUUCAGGGUCCGAGUUGUAAUUUGCAGAGGGCGCUUUGGCGUUGGCAGCGGUCCAAGUUCCUUGGAACAGGACGUCACAGAGGGUGAGAAUCCCGUACGUGGUCGCUGGCCUUCGCCGUGUAAAGCCCCUUCGACGAGUCGAGUUGUUUGGGAAUGCAGCUCUAAAUGGGAGGUAAAUUUCUUCUAAAGCUAAAUACUGGCCAGAGACCGAUAGCGCACAAGUAGAGUGAUCGAAAGAUGAAAAGCACUUUGGAAAGAGAGUCAAAUAGCACGUGAAAUUGUUGAAAGGGAAGCGCUUGCAGCCAGACUUGCCUGUAGUUGCUCAUCCGGGCUUCUGCCCGGUGCACUCUUCUAUAGGCAGGCCAGCAUCAGUUUGGGCGGUUGGAUAAAGGUCUCUGUCAUGUACCUCUCUUCGGGGAGGCCUUAUAGGGGAGACGACAUGCAACCAGCCUGGACUGAGGUCCGCGCAUUUUGCUAGGAUGCUGGCGUAAUGGCUGUAAGCGGCCCGUCUUGAAACACGGACCAAGGAGUCUAACAUCUAUGCGAGUGUUUGGGUGUCAAGCCCGAACGCGUAAUGAAAGUGAACGGAGGUGGGAACCCUUUAGGGCGCACCAUCGACCGAUCCUGAUGUCUUCGGAAGGAUUUGAGUAAGAGCAUGGCUGUUGGGACCCGAAAGAUGGUGAACUAUGCUUGAAUAGGGUGAAGCCAGAGGAAACUCUGGUGGAGGCUCGCAGCGGUUCUGACGUGCAAAUCGAUCGUCAAAUUUGGGCAUAGGGGCGAAAGACUAAUCGAACUAUCUAGUAGCUGGUUCCUGC